rnacentral:rRNA from 1 species
AUUGAACGCUGGCGGCCUGCUUAACACAUGCAAGUCGAACGGUAACAGGUCUAGCUUGCUAGAUGCUGACGAGUGGCGGACGGGUGAGUAACGCGUGGGAAUCUGCCUUCUAGUGGGGGAUAGCCCGGAGAAAUCCGGAUUAAUACCGCAUACGCCUACGGGGGAAAGCCGGGGAGUCUUCGGACCUGGCGCUAGUAGAUGAGCCCGCGUGAGAUUAGCUUGUUGGUGGGGUAAUGGCCUACCAAGGCAACGAUCUCUAGCUGGUCUGAGAGGACGAUCAGCCGCACUGGGACUGAGACACGGCCCAGACUCCUACGGGAGGCAGCAGUGGGGAAUAUUGGACAAUGGGCGAAAGCCUGAUCCAGCAAUGCCGCGUGUGUGAAGAAGGCCUGAGGGUUGUAAAGCACUUUCAAUCGUGAAGAAAAGUUGCAGGCUAAUACCCUGUGACCUUGACGUUAACGAUACAAGAAGCA